rnacentral:rRNA from 1 species
AUAGCGUAUAUUAAAAUUGUUGCGUCUAAAAAGCUCGUAGUUUGACAACUUGCCUUGACUUACAAACGGUCCUUUCGGGCCACCGUUUGUCGAAGCAAAUAUCGAUGACUGUUUUUGCCGACUUCAUUGUUUGGCUUAUAAGAGUUAUCAAAUAUCACUUUGAUUAAAUUAGAGUGCUUAAAGCAAGUGUGUUACUUGGAUAUAAAUGCAUGGAAUGAUGGAAUAUGUUGUUGUUCUAUUUGUUGGUUUUUGAACGAUGAAAUGAUUGAAAGGAACUGUUGGGGGCAUUCGUAUUGUUGUGAGAGAGGUGAAAUUCUUAGACCACAGCAAGACGAACUACUG